ACAGUUUAACUGCAGGUGGGCGAUUCUGGGAGACUCAGGCUCAGGACCCAGUCUUUCAUGUGACUGGAGGGCCAUCUUGUUCCAGAAGUUUCUUGGAUCACCCUUCUGGAGGCUUGCCAAGGCAGUGACUUGCUGUGGUCAGUCACUGUUUAGCUGGAAAGCUAGCGCCACCUGCUGGCUUAGAAGUCCCAUAUUUGGGUCCAGGACAGGAUCUACCCAUCUAGGGAAAACUCCCCAACGGUCUCAACAAUGUUGCCAAUUAGAUCUAUCUUUGACUUAGACAAAAGGAACCCACCCUAGAGCAAGCUUUAGAAUCUCAGUAUCAUUAUAGCCACCUCCCAUGAAACACAGCAAAGCCCACAAGGACUCCGGCACAGAGUGGCUCUAAUGCUAAACCUCUGCUCCAGUGAACACCACUACACGGAACUCAAGGAAGGACUCCUCCACAGGGCUGUGGCCUUGAAGCCACAGGCUUUACCCCAGAGCUGAUAUGACUUGCAGGCUGUUGAGCUGGGAGCAUUUGGAAAGGAGAAGAUUCGAAAUAAUCUGCUUUACUAAUCUCCUUUAAAACAAAACAAAACAAACCAAAACCAAAACAGAGCAUCCAUUUCUCAUUAGUGCGUCCAGAAAGUGCUAGAGAGGAACAGGACACUCAUGGCAGCCGCCUGUGGUGUCUAAAAAGCACUUUUCAAUGUAAAGCUGUUUGUGCCACUGUAAAGGUUUGCUUGUUUUUAAUUGUAUUUCAUUCUUUGUUGUCGGGAUACAUCCAUGUGGAAGUUCUCCUGCUGGGCUUAGAGCACAACUCUUAGGAGUUGCUUCUCCCCUUCCACAGUGAAGGUUCUGGGGCUCAAACUCAGAUCACCUGAGACCAGCAGGCAUCUUUAUACCAGCUGAGUGACCUCAGUGGCCCAUUUGUGUCCCUUUGAGAUUGUGUAUGUAAGUCUCGGGGAGCCAUCGGAACAUGUGCAGAGCAGAAGCCUAUGUUGCUGUUUCUCUAGAAAGCGUGACUCAGCUGCCUAGUUCUGAUUUGAUUUUUGAGACAGGGUCUUAUAAUACAGCCCGUGCUGGCCUCAAACUCACUAAUUAGCCCAGGCUGGCUCACAAUGGCAUCUCCUAUGAACAUCACCACACCCAGGUCAGUGUAGCUUUAAGGAACAGUGAUAAGCAUGCAAGCAGGAAUAGUUUCAAUGAUAAAAUCGAAGCACUUUGUAUAUUUUAUGCUAAUCUCUUUUAUGGAAUUCUCUUGCCAUAUUAAAUCUGAUGUGUGGGUUUCUGGUAUA
rnacentral:lncRNA from 1 species